GUUGUCCACUGUCCUUUGAGUUAACUUGGGUCCCUGAGUCUUUUCACAGCCUCUAAGCUUUACUUCAUGGGGUACUGUCCAUUUAAGGCCCCUUUCUCAAACUGUUAAUGUGCAUAAUGACAAUUACAUUGGGAUUCUUCCCCUUUACACUCCCUUUGAAGUACUGCAGGGAAUUCUGACCCAUAAAGUUCCGUUUCAUGGCCUGUUAAGAUGCAUGUUAUAUUUAUCUGGGUUCUUAUGUACUAGAGAAGAAAACCUCUCUCCACUCCCUGUAUCUUCAAGCAGGGAGUGCCCACUGUACAAGACCGUGCCCUGUACAAGACUGUUGAGCAGUCAAGGAAGACAAUUGUAAUUGACCACAGCCAUGCACCAUGGACAUUAAUGUGCAUAAUUGCACAGGCUCAUCCUGUUUGAAUAAGAUACUACCUUCUCAGACCCCAGAAGGGGUACUGAUCAUUAAGGCCUUUUUUUCAUGCCUUGUGAUUAUGCAUAAUUGCAUUUGUACAUUUUUCUGUACACCAAAUAAGGACACCCCUCUCCCACUCCCUUUAUCUUUAGCAAGGAGUGCCCAUUAUUUUAAGAUCCUUGUAUCUGUACAAGAUACAUGGUUUUAGUUGAUCAUACCAUGUCUGUUGGACAUUAAUGUACAUAAUUGCAACUUAGUUCAUCCUACUCUGUUGUAUGUCAUUUGCUGUAUGCUAGGGUUGAUGAUCCCUAACUUAUCCUGUUAAUGUGCAUAAUUGCAUUAGUCUGGGUUCUUGUGCACUAGAUGGGGACAUCCUCCACCCCUACUUCUAUCCCUUCCAGUAGGUGGUGCUCACUGCUGUGACAUUUACAUUUGGAUGGUUAAUGUGAAGAAUUGUAGUUUCCACAACCCUAUCACUUUCAAAACUAUCGUAUCUGCUUUGCACUGCUGCAGGGGAUACUGUUUUCUCCCCAAGUUCCUUCUAGUAAACCAUUAAUAUUCAUAAUUGAAAUAGUUAUACACCCUCAGCUUCCCUUUGCAGUACAGCAGUGUGUACUGAUCAACCAAGGCCCUCUUUUGGAGUGGUAAUAUGUGCAAUUGCAUUUUUUCCUAUUUUGUGCACUCAGUAAGGAUCCUGCCUACUUCCUUACCAGGUUCAGCAGGUAGUGUCCACUACUUAAGACUCUUUCACUUGAAAAGUUCAUGUGUAUAAAUGCAGUUUGCUAAGUGUGUCUUAUACUAGAACCCCUCUUUGCUUUGGAGUAAGGAGAUGUUAUUUACCUAAUGUCCUUUCUUUUAGACUCUAAUGUGCAUAAUUGCAAUUGUCCAUCUUUUCUGUUGGACUAGGGUUGCAUUCCCUCAAACCCCCUUUGUAUCCGGGGUGUGUUAACCAUAAAUGAGCUCUUCUCUUGAGAUUAUAAUUGUACAGACUUGUAUGUGUCUGUGGAUUUGUGUAGUGUGAAAGGAUGCCCUAUGCAUUUACCACUAUCUUUGGAUUGCUGCUGAGGAGUGCUAUCAUGACCUCAGCUCUUGGACAAUUAAUGUGCACCACUAGCAAUGAUGGGACCUCUGUACCCGCUUUGUAUACAUCAGGGGUACUAAAGCCCCUUUCUUGGACUGUCAAUGUACAAUUGUCUAUGUUCCCUUCUGUUAGAUUUAGGAUAACAUUCCCUUAAACCCCCUUUGCAUUAAUGCAGGGGUUGCUGACCACACAAAACUCUAUUAGUUUAGAGUUAUUAAACUAUUAGUGGGCACAAUGGCAAUUAGUGGGACUAUUAGUGGGCACAAUGGCAAUUAGCAAUGGGUUUUUCCUCCCUGGCCUUGUUAGGCAAACACUCCCAGCCCCAAUUUCCCUUGGCAUAAUAAAGUAUAAACAUGGCAGUAUGCUGUGAACUUGUCCAUCAAAUAGUACCCCAUACUCCCUCUCCUUUUGUAUUGCUUCUAUGUAUAAAAUUCCAAGUAGUCAUGAUCUUCCCCUUCCUUCCCUCUUCCCACCCCUUGCUCACCCUUGGACCCAUCCAAGGUGCAUAAGCACCAUUCUCACAAUUUCAGGUGUUCAUGUAUUGGGCCACUAAAUAAGAUUGUGUUCCUUUUUCCCUCCCAACGCCACCCUACCCCUUUUGCAUUAUUGCUGGGGAAUGUUGACUGGGCAAGGCCCUUUCUCUUGGAUUUAAAACAUUAACAAUCCCAGAUGUCAUUGCAUUACUCACUUUGUAUUGCUGUAAUGCCUCAGUUGCACUAUCCUUGGUCCCUCCCAUCAGACAUGGACCCCUCCACUUCUUUGCAUUACUUCUGAGUAAUGCUGAGUACCCAAAGUCUCUUCUGUGUUAUUAACACAGUACUGAUUGUCCCAUUUUUUUCAGGUCAUCAGCCCAAGAUUUUCCUACCAUUUUGAUGUGUUUGUGCAGUGUUGACUACCCAAAACAGGCCUGAAUUAGGUGGAUGGACCUUCACUCCUUUGUCUGCAUUUGUUAAUAAUCCCAAUUCCAGUUGUUACAUUCUGGGAUAGGAACCAUCCCUGACCAUUUCUGUUACUGCUUCACUGAGCAAAAUGCUCAAGGCAAGUCAGGCCUAGAAAGCUGGAUUGCCACCUUUUAUUUUAGAUUUCCAGUAUAAGUAUCAGUUGAAAAUUGUCUCCCCAGGAAGAAAGAUUAGCAUUGUCUGUGUAUUCUUCCUUCCAGAGCAGAUUGCCUGGCCAAGAAUUUCGCUUCUCCUCUUGUAUAUUGCUAUUGUACUGUGCCAGUUGCCAGCGUACAAUUAAAAAAAAAAUACUGUUUGCAAGGUGGAAUUGUAAACCUGGUCAUUGAAUUUUGAGGUCCAAAAACCCAUUUAUACCAUGUACCUGAUGACCAGUGUCUCUCAUUUUACUAAGGGUGCUGGGUCUGUGGAUAGACCACUGUGACUCUUGCUAUUUUGGUAUUCCCAAAAGACUUCUAGAGUGGAACUCUUAAGAGCAAUAUCUUUGUGUUCUACCACCAUUUUAAAACCCAUUAUUUAUUUGGGCUUUACCACUGUUCACUUUUAGAAAAACUACCUAAACAUUCUAAUCCUUAAAUUUCUUCAUCUGAAGCAUCUACCACCCCUUACUUAUUUCAAGAAGAUUGCUGUAAAAGAAUGAAAUGAGAGAACAUAUGCUGAGGCACUUUUGAAAACCAUAAUUCAUCUUACUUGAUUAAUCUAUUACAUAAAUAAAAUGCACACUAUUUAAAUCUGCUAAUUUAAACUAGCCUGAAGCACUACACUGAAGUGAGGGAUUAGAAAUGAUGGGUCCAAUUUCCCUGUUUUAGAUUGAAAAAUAAGCCAAGAUCUAAUCAUUCUUCUGGACAUGAAUUUCAACAGCUGUUUGGUAAAAUGAAUAAUAUCCUAGUCUCUAGUGUGCAGGGUGUGGCAGAUAAGUGUUUAAUAUGGAACUCCUGAAGCAAAUAACUAGUGGUCACAACAGCAGUUCUUUGUAAUCACUGAAAAAGGAUACUAUUCCUCUGACAAGGAUGUCAAAAGAUCGGCCCAGCUCAGGGUGCAGUAUGCACUACUAGCUCCUUGGACAGCUGUAAGAAGAGUCUCUGGCUCUUUAGAAUACUGGAUCAAUUCUGAGCUGGUUCUAUACCCCCACUGAAGAGGAAGGAUGGAUCAAUUUUAAGUGGAUUGAAGCCUGCACUAGACAGCAUCCAAAGUUUUGGUGUCUUCCUGAGUCCUGUCUUUCUUCUCAAGGACGUUCUGAGCAUGUGAAACCUGAGGACUGCAAGUAGCUCUAAGCAGCUUCACAUUCAGCAGAUCUUUCCUUUUGAGAAUCUGGAUAAACUCCAAAUAAUCUAAGACGAUGGCUUGCAGGCCACCUGGAAAAAAAAAAAAGAUCUUCCUCUGAAGAAUAGGCUUGUUGCCCUACAGUGUUAGUGACCCAUUCCCUUUGACGAUCCCUAGGUGGAGAUGGGGCAUGAGGAUCCUCCAGGGGAAAAGCUCACUAUCACUGGGCAACAACCCUAGGCUAGGAGGCUUUACCAAGAUUCUUUCCUGAGCCCAGGUUAGGAAGUCUCACAACAACCGCCAUACAUCAGAGCUCCUGAUUGUUCCCUUCUUAUCUGCCAAAUCAUUGUAUCCCCAAAACAAUGCAGAGAGCAAGAAAUUUGAACACAUCAAAGGAAGAUCAACAUGCCUGGCAUGCUAACAUUUUAGAACAGCAGAAUGAAUGUGUAUUUCUUUGUCUAUUUUUUUUUCUUGAGUCUCUUUGGUUUUCCUUCUCUGUCUAAAGUGUGUCUCAGCCAUUCCAUGAUUCUCUUGUUAGUUUCGUCUCUGUGUAUCUUUGUCUCAUUUUCUUGUUCCUAAGAGUUGUCUGUGCCUUGUCUUGGAUGUCUCUCUAGUUUUUUCAUUUUGUUAGUGAUUCUCUUUGUUCUCCUAGAUCUGGCUCUUCUUUCACUGUUCUUCCUUUUGUGUCUCUGUGUCACAUGAUGUGUGCUUUUUGUUCAUUUCUUGUUCUGCCUAUACCUCUUCUUGUUCUGUUGUGAACUCUGAUUUUUUGUCUUCCCUUACCCUUCUUAUUGGUUUCACAUUUCACCUUUUUCUCAUUCUGCCUUCCCUUCUACUUUUUCUACUCAUUAUCUCAAAUUUCUGUGUCUCUUGGGCCAUUUUCUCUCUAUUUUGUCCUGCUUUGUCUCAGUGUCUCUUUUUCUCUCUGUUUUUUUUUCCUGCUCUGUCUCAGUGUCUCUUUUUCUGUUUUUUUUUUGUUUCUGCUCUGUCUCAGUGUCUCCUUGCUCUUUGUGAUUUUUCCAUUUCAGCAUUCAUCUCUGUUCUCUUGUUUCUUCUCUGCUUUUCCCCUUCUACUCACCUUUGAGUAUUUCAGCCUCUUUGUGAGUCUGUGAUUCCCCCUCUUUGACUUUAUGCAGUCCUCUAUCCUUGCAUAUUUUUGUGCAUUUGUAUGAUCAUGUGUGUGUCUUUGUGACAAAGGGGCUUCCUAACCCCUUCCCAAUAGGUACAGUGUGUCAACUAUCAAAAUACACAUUGCAGAGCUGUUCGUUAUGCCAGGACACCCUGUGAGAUGACCCAAGACCUAUGAUGGACAGAAAGUGGAAGGCCCAUAAUGGAGAGAAGGCCCAAAGUAAAAGACAGAUGGUUUGAGACUUGAGACCUAAAGACAAAAAUGGAAAACCUGUCUCAAGAUAGAUGGAAACUUCAGGCUUGAGACCAUCCAAAGUCCUGACAACCAUGAUGUAAAAAGGUGGCCCUUGUUGGAUAGAAGACCUUACUGAGUUGGAUGGAAAGUUCAAGACUUGAGUUAGAUAGAAGUACAAAGACCCAGAGUAGGAGACUGAAGGCCUAAGAAUGGGGACCCAUCGAAAGCCUGAGACAUAAGACACCAUGUCUAAGACCUGAGAUAAAAACUUUAGCUUGAAGAUCUAAGAUCCAAGGAUGGAAGGCCCCAGACACACAUAAAGACCCAGGACUCCAGCCUCUAGAUGGACAGAAGGUCAAAGAGAGAAAUCUAUCUCAAGGCUAAAUUAGGUGGGAAGCUAGAAGCCCAUGACACAGAAUCCAAGAAGGAUAGAAGCCCCAAGACCAAAGGAAAUCCCAAGAUGAGAACGCUAAACCCCAGCUUUUUUCUAUUGCCAUCCUUCCUACUCUUGGACAUUUUCAUUUCUCCCUUGACAGUUCUUAUGUUUCCAUUUAAGCCCACUUUUUUGAGAUGCCCUUUUAGAUGUUGCCAUUACCUUAAGGAAACAUAUCUUUACAUUGGCAAUAUUAUGCUUGGUCCAGUCUUAAGCCAAUUUUUAUCACAGUUUUGGGCCAUUUAUUGUUUGUUUUUUAAAUUUCCAUUUGUCUUUGCCUCCAAUUCA